CAGUCGCCACGGGAAUACAGAGGAUGCAAGCGUUAUCAGGGAUGAUUGGGCGUAAAGCGUCUGUAGGUGGCUUUUCAAGUCCGCCGUCAAAUCCCAGGGCUCAACCCUGGACAGGCGGUGGAAACUACCAAGCUGGAGUACGGUAGGGGCAGAGGGAAUUCCCGGAAUAGCGGUGAAAUGCGUAGAGAUGUGGAGGAACACCAGUGGCGAAGGCGACUCUCUGGUCUGUAACUGACGCUGAGGAGCGAAAGCGUGGGGAGCGAACAGGAUUAGAUACCCCGGUAGUCCCUGUCUCUUAUAC
rnacentral:rRNA from 1 species